rnacentral:rRNA from 1 species
GUCCACGCCCUAAACGAUGUCAACUAGGUGUUGGGAGGGUAAACCUUUUAGUACCGUAGCUAACGCGAGAAGUUGACCGCCUGGGGAGUACGGCCGCAAGGUUAAACUCAAAGGAAUUGACGGGGACCCGCACAAGCGGUGGAUGAUGUGGAUUAAUUCGAUGCAACGCGAAAACCUUACCUACCCUUGACAUGUCAGGAACUUGCCAGAGAUGGCUUGGUGCCCCGAAAGGGAACCUGAACACAGGUGCUGCAUGGCUGUCGU